AGCUCCACUAGCGUAUAUUAAAGUUGCUGCAGUUAAAAAGCUCGUAGUCGGAUCUCGGGAUCGUACCUCGUCGGUGUUCGUCGGGUCAUGCCUCGAAAGGGGUUGUGGUCUUGCGGCGUCUUCGGGGUCUCAUCCGGAGGGUCUCUGGCUUCGUGCCGGGGUUUCACCUUCCGUGAUGGCCCGCCGUCGCGUUUGGGUGGGUGUCCUUAAUUGGAUGCCCGCCGUCGAACGUGACCAUUUUACCGUGAACAAAGCGGAGUGCUCAACGCAGGCUCCACCACGCUCGAACGGUAGCGCAUGGAAUAAGGGAAGAGGACCAGCUUCCGCUUCUAUUGGUCUCACGGAGGCAGGUAAUGAUCAAGAGGAACGGAUGGGGGCAGAGGUAUGGCUCGGCGAGAGGUGAAAUUCUUGGACCCUUGCCAGACCCUCGAGAGCGAAAGCAUCUGCCAAAGAUGUUUUCA
rnacentral:rRNA from 1 species